UAAGCCUAAAAAAUAAUAAAUAAUCGAUAGUGAAUAAGUACUGUAAAGGAAAGGUGAAAGAGAAUUUACGAAAUUGAAAUAGAUAUUGAAAUCUAAUGCUUUUAUCAAUUGGAGCUUUUUUAAAAGUGACAAUGUACCUUUUGUAUAAUGGACCAGUAAGUUUAUUUAUAUAGCAAGUUUAAGUUGUGAAACGUAGACUUAGUGAAAGCGUAUUUGAAAUGAAUUAUUUGAGUUAUAUAAAUAAGACCCGAAACCGAGUGAUCUAAUUAUGAACAAGUUGAAAAAAUAUUAAUUUAUUUUUGAGGACUGAACUCGUACCUGUUGCAUAAGGUUGAGAUGAUUUGUGAUUAGGGGUGAAAGGCUAAUCAAACUCGGAGAUAGCUGGUUUUCUGUGAAAUCUAUUUACGUAAAGUGUUAAAAUUAUUAUUCUGGGGUAGAGAUAUCGAUAAAAGAGGGUUGCCCAUAAAGCUUUACCAAUUUUAAUGAAACUUCGAAUACAGAAUUAAUAUUUUAAUAAUCGGACUUACAAUGCUAAGGUUAUAAGUCAAGAGGGAAACAGCCCAGAUUGUUUAUUAAGGUCUUUAAAUUAUUUUUAAUUUCUCAUAAGAAAUGGGUUUUAAAAUAUAGAUAACUAAGAGUUAGGUUCGGAAGCAGCCAUUCUUUAAAGAAAGCGUAAAAGCUCAUUGGUUUAAUUUUAAAAUCCAAACGAUGUAUAGAGAUUGUAAGAAAUAUACCGAAAUAGCAAAUUUAAAUUUUAAUGUUUAAAUGGUAACAGAACGUUCUGUAUGCUUUAAGAUAAAUUGAAAAAUUUAUUAAUGUAUCAGAAGUGAUAAUACUGGUAUAAGUAAUAUAAAUAAUAUAAAAUAGGUAAUUAAAUAUUAUCGUCGAAAGUUUAAGGUUUUUAAUAUAUAGUUGUUAAACAAAAUUAAGUAAUACGGCCUCUAAGAAAAAAGUGAAAACUUUAUUUGAUGAGAUUUAUUUAAAAGGACUUUUUUUAUAAAUAAAAAUACUAUUUAUAAAAAAAUUCAAAAAACUUUUAAAAGAAACCGUACUAAAAACCAACACAGGUAAAUGGGUAGAGUAUACUAAGACGAUAAAGAGAAUCAUAGUGAAGGAACUCUGCAAAUUGACUUUGUAACUUCGGGAUAAAAAGUUUUUAUUAAUGUAUUUUUUAAUUAAUAAAAGUAAUAUGAAAGGGGGUAGCGACUGUUUAAUAAAAACACAGGACUUUGCUAAAUCGUAAGAUGAUGUAUAAGGUCUGACACCUGCCAAGAACUGUAUUGCAAAAGUUAAAAAGUAUUUUUUUUAGUAUAAACAACAGUAAUCGGCGGCCAUAACUCUGAUGGUCCUAAGGUAGCGAAAUUCCUUGUCAACUAAUUAUUGACGUGCAUGAAUGGUGUAACGACUUCCCCACUGUCUCCACUAUGAGCUUUAUGAAAUUGAAAUAUUCGUGAAGAUGCGAAUUAUAUAUGGUAAGACGGUAAGACCCCGUGCACCUUUACUACAAUCUUUUAUUGAUUAUUUUUAUAAAAUUGUGUAGAAUAAGUGGGAGUUUAAAUUUAUUUUUAAACAUUAGUGAAAUACCACUCGUUUUAUUAUUAAUAGCUAAUUUUGUUUUUGAAAAUAAAAGACAUAUAAAAGAAUGGUAGUUUAACUGGGGUGGUUUUCUCCUAAAAAGUAACGGAGAAAUAUAAAGGUAAAUUAAUAAUUAUUGUUGUGAUAAUUAUUUAUGUAUAAUGGCUUAAAUUUGCUUGACUGUAAGAUUGACAAAUCAAACAGAAACGAAAGUUGAUCAUAUUGACCCGGUAAUUCUUUGUGGAAAGGUUAUCGAUCAUUGGAUAAAAGGUACGCCGGGGGUAACAGGCUGAUAAUUCUCUAGAGUUCAUAUCGACGGAAUUGUUUGGCACCUCGAUGUCGGCUCAUCACAUCCUAGGGCUGAAGAAGGUUCUAAGGGUUUGGCUGUUCGCCAAUUAAAGUGGUACGU
rnacentral:rRNA from 1 species